UACGGGGGGGCAAGCGUUGUUCGGAAUCACUGGGCGUAAAGCGCACGUAGGCGGACUCUUAAGUCGGGGGUGAAAUCCUGGAGCUCAACUCCAGAACUGCCUUCGAUACUGGGAGUCUCGAGUUCGAGAGAGGUGAGUGGAACUGCGAGUGUAGAGGUGAAAUUCGUAGAUAUUCGCAAGAACACCAGUGGCGAAGGCGGCUCACUGGCCCGAUACUGACGCUGAUGUGCGAAACGUGGG
rnacentral:rRNA from 1 species